GCUUAGGUGGUGAAAUUGGUAGACACGCUGUCUUCAGGCGGCAGUAUCGAGAGAUGUAGGGGUUCGAGUCCCCUCCUGAGCACCA
rnacentral:tRNA from 1 species